rnacentral:rRNA from 1 species
AGCAGCCGCGGUAAUUCCAGCUCCAAUAGCGUAUAUUAAAGUUGUUGCAGUUAAAAAGCUCGUAGUUGAAUUUCGGGAUCAAUUUAUUGGUCGUGCUAUUGUACGUACUGGUAUUAUUGAUUCCUACCUUCUGACGAACCAUGAUGUCAUUAAUUUGGUGUCAUGGGGAAUCAGGACUGUUACUUUGAAAAAAUUAGAGUGUUUAAAGCAGGCUCACGCUUGAAUACAUUAGCAUGGAAUAACGAAAUAGGACGUUUGAUUCUAUUUUGUUGGUUUCUAGGAUCGACGUAAUGAUUAAUAGGGAUAGUUGGGGGCAUUAGUAUUCAAUUGUCAGAGGUGAAAUUCUUGGAUUUAUUGAAGACUAACUACUGCGAAAGCAUUUGCCAAGGAUGUUUUCAUUAAUCAAGAACGAAAGUUAGGGGAUCGAAGACGAUCAGAUACCGUCGUAGUCUUAACCAUAAACUAUGCCGACUAGGGAUCGGAUGAUGUAAUUUUUAAUGA